GUUUCCUUCAGCAUCUUCCCAUACAAUCCUGAUGUCUUGACAAACUGCACCUGCACAGCAAAUUUGUCUUCGUGCCAUAUGCUCCAUGAAGAGUAGAGUGCCCCCCAAGAUCUUGAGGCAGCCUGAAAAUUUUACAUCAUUGUGAGCAGUAUUACAAUCAAGAUGAAAUGGAACAGCCGUGCGCCGAUUUUUUGCAAAGCGUAUUUGUUCAUGAAAUUUAAGGCACAUGCAAUGUUUGCAUAACUCUUACCAGAUGCCAGACGGAGCUCCUUUGCUCAAACACUUGCGAGGUCCUCUUUACUACGCCAAAGUCAUUUUCCCCUGGCUCCAGUCCUCUGUAUUGCUCUUCCCAGUGGAUAUGUGCCUGAGCCUUGUGAGGGCCCAGUACAAUAUCCCAAAAGUCUCUGAAAAGCUGAUUCGCCCUCUGAGAAUCCUUGACCUCUGGAAGGUCAUAGCACCA
rnacentral:lncRNA from 1 species